rnacentral:rRNA from 1 species
UACGUAUGGUGCAAGCGUUAUCCGGAUUUACUGGGUGUAAAGGGAGCGCAGGCGGCGCGCUAAGUCUGAUGUGAAAGCCCGGGGCUCAACCGCGGGACUGCAUUGGAAACUGGCGCGCUGGAGUGCCGGAGAGGUAAGCGGAAUUCCUAGUGUAGCGGUGAAAUGCGUAGGUAUUAGGAGGAACACCAGUGGCGAAGGCGGCUUACUGGACGGUGACUGACGCUGAGGCUCGAAAGCGUGGGGAGCAAACA